GACAGCAGCCGCCGCGGGAAUACGUAGGUGGCAAGCGUUGUCCGGAAUUAUUGGGCGUAAAGGGCUCGCAGGCGGUUUCUUAAGUCUGAUGUGAAAGCCCCCGGCUCAACCGGGGAGGGUCAUUGGAAACUGGGAAACUUGAGUGCAGAAGAGGAGAGUGGAAUUCCACGUGUAGCGGUGAAAUGCGUAGAGAUGUGGAGGAACACCAGUGGCGAAGGCGACUCUCUGGUCUGUAACUGACGCUGAGGAGCGAAAGCGUGGGGAGCGAACAGGAUUAGAGACCCCUGUAGUCCCUGUCUCUUAUAA
rnacentral:rRNA from 1 species